rnacentral:rRNA from 1 species
AAUGGGGGCAACCCUGACCGAGCAACGCCGCGUGAGUGAAGAAGGUUUUCGGAUCGUAAAGCUCUGUUGUAAGAGAAGAACUGUGAGAAGAGUGGAAAGUUUCUCACUUGACGGUAUCUUACCAGAAAGGGACGGCUAACUACGUGCCAGCAGCCGCGGUAAUACGUAGGUCCCGAGCGUUGUCCGGAUUUAUUGGGCGUAAAGCGAGCGCAGGCGGUUUGAUAAGUCUGAAGUAAAAGGCUGUGGCUUAACCAUAGUACGCUUUGGAAACUGUCAAACUUGAGUGCAGAAGGGGAGAGUGGAAUUCCAUGUGUAGCGGUGAAAUGCGUAGAUAUAUGGAGGAACACCGGUGGCGAAAGCGGCUCUCUGGUCUGUAACUGACGCUGAGGCUCGAAAGCGUGGGGAGCGAACAGGAUUAGAUACCCUGGUAGUCCACGCCGUAAACGAUGAGUGCUAGGUGUUGGGUCCUUUCCGGGACUCAGUGCCGCAGCUAACGCAUUAAGCACUCCGCCUGGGGAGUACGACCGCAAGGUUGAAACUCAAAGGAAUUGACGGGGGCCCGCACAAGCGGUGGAGCAUGUGGUUUAAUUCGAAGCAACGCGAAGAACCUUACCAGGUCUUGACAUCCCGAUGACCGCCCUAGAGAUAGGGUUUCUCUUCGGAGCAUCGGUGACAGGUGGUGCAUGGUUGUCGUCAGCUCGUGUCGUGAGAUGUUGGGUUAAGUCCCGCAACGAGCGCAACCCCUAUUGUUAGUUGCCAUCAUUCAGUUGGGCACUCUAGCGAGACUGCCGGUAAUAAACCGGAGGAAGGUGGGGAUGACGUCAAAUCAUCAUGCCCCUUAUGACCUGGGCUACACACGUGCUACAAUGGCUGGUACAACGAGUCGCAAGUCGGUGACGGCAAGCUAAUCUCUUAAAGCCAGUCUCAGUUCGGAUUGUAGGCUGCAACUCGCCUACAUGAAGUCGGAAUCGCUAGUAAUCGCGGAUCAGCACGCCGCGGUGAAUACGUUCCCGGGCCUUGUACACACCGCCCGUCACACCACGAGAGUUUGUAACACCCGAAGUCGGUGAGGUAACCUUUUAGGAGCCAGCCGCCUAAGGUGGGAUAGAUGAUUGGGGUGAAGUCGUAACAAGGUAGCCGUAUCGGAAGGUGCGGCUG